AGCAGCCGCGGUAAUUCCAGCUCCAAUAGCGUAUAUUAAAGUUGUUGCAGUUAAAAAGCUCGUAGUUGAAUUUCGGGGUCAGUAGAUUGGUCAUGCCAUUGGUAUGCACUGGUCUUACUGGCUCCUCCUUCCUGAUGAACCGUAAUGCCAUUAAUUUGGUGUUGCGGGGAGACUGGACUGUUACUUUGAAAAAAUUAGAGUGUUUAAAGCAGGCUAACGCUUGAAUACAUUAGCAUGGAAUAAUGAAAUAGGACGUUCGAUCUUAUUUGUUGGCUUCUAAGAUUGACGUAAUGAUUAAUAGGGAUAGUUGGGGGCAUUAGUAUUCAAUUGUCAGAGGUGAAAUUCUUGGAUUUAUUGAAGACUAACUACUGCGAAAGCAUUUGCCAAGGAUGUUUCAUUAAUCAAGAACGAAAGUUAGGGAUCGAAGACGAUCAGA
rnacentral:rRNA from 1 species